ACAGUACAAACUGAGCAGGCGAUGCCCGAGAAAAUCGAGGGCGUGGGGCCGGGCCGUGUAAGCGGCAGCAGAUAUGAAAUUUACAGACAUAUCUGUGGGACAGU
rnacentral:ncRNA from 1 species